AAGUCGUAACAAGGUUUCCGUAGGUGAACCUGCGGAAGGAUCAUUAACACGUAUCCAACGUUAAACCCCCCUGUGAACCUUCAUUGUGCUCCCACGCUUUGUUAGAAAGUGGCAAUCCCUGGUAAAUCAUCGCCGAACAGUUUUGAUUCAGGGACUUCUGCGAAGAGGGUGAAUGAGGCGAGGCAAUGGACCUGGCAUUCCUCUGCUUGUUGGUGUCUGAAAGUGUCACUAACUCUGUACGAAUGACACGGCCGGCGACCGGGUCCCUGAGCUCUGCUCCCUAAUAACCUUUGCAUGAAAACGGGCCUGCGCUUAAUUGUGCGGCCACCAAACUCGAACAACUGUUAACAAUGGAUAUCUUGGUUCUC
rnacentral:misc_RNA from 1 species